rnacentral:rRNA from 1 species
AUUGAACGCUAGCGGGAGGCCUAACACAUGCAAGCCGAGCGGUAUUUCUUCUUCGGGAGAGAGAGAGCGGCGUACGGGUGCGGAACACGUGUGCAACCUGCCUUUAUCUAGAGGAUAGCCUUUCGAAAGGAAGAUUAAUACUCUAUAAUAUAUUAAUUGGCAUCAAUUGAUAUUGAAAACUCCGGUGGAUAGAGAUGGGCACGCGCAAGAUUAGCUAGUUGGUGAGGUAACGGCUCACCAAGGCAAUGAUCUUUAGGGGGCCUGAGAGGGUGAUCCCCCACACUGGUACUGAGACACGGACCAGACUCCUACGGGAGGCAGCAGUGAGGAAUAUUGGUCGAUGGGUGCAAGCCUGAACCAGCCAUCCCGCGUGAAGGAUUAAGGUCCUAUGGAUUGUAAACUUCUUUUGUAUAGGGAUAAACCUACCCUCGUGAGGGUAGCUGAAGGUACUAUACGAAUAAGCACCGGCUAACUCCGUGCCAGCCGCCGCAGUAAAAC